rnacentral:tRNA from 1 species
UCCCUGGUAGUUCAGUCGGUAAAGAAUCUGCCUGCAAUGCAGGGGACCUGGGUUCGAUCCCUGGGCUGGGAA